AACGAACGCUGGCGGCAGGCUUAACACAUGCAAGUCGAACGCCCCGCAAGGGGAGUGGCAGACGGGUGAGUAACGCGUGGGAACGUGCCCUUCGCUUCGGAAUAGUCCCGGGAAACUGGGUUUAAUACCGGAUACGCCGUAUUGGGAAAGAUUUAUCGGCGAAGGAUCGGCCCGCGUUAGAUUAGGUAGUUGGCGGUGUAAUGGACCACCAAGCCUACGAUCUAUAGCUGGUCUGAGAGGAUGAUCAGCCACACUGGGACUGAGACACGGCCCAGACUCCUACGGGAGGCAGCAGUGGGGAAUCUUGGACAAUGGGCGAAAGCCUGAUCCAGCCAUGCCGCGUGAGUGAAGAAGGCCUUAGGGUUGUAAAACUCUUUCGCCGGAGAAGAUAAUGACGGUAUCCGGAGAAGAAGCCCCGGCUAACUUCGUGCCAGCCGCCGCAGUAAGAC
rnacentral:rRNA from 1 species